rnacentral:rRNA from 1 species
AUUGAACGCUGGCGGCAGGCUUAACACAUGCAAGUCGAACGAGUGGCGGACGGGUGAGUAAUGCUUGGGAAUCUAGCUUAUGGAGGGGGAUACCUCCGGGAAACUGUAGCUAUUACCGCUUGCAAUAGGAGGAGCCAAAGGGGGAUUAGUUAGUUGGUGAGGGAAAGGCUCACAAAGCCGACGAUCUCUAGCUGGUCUGAGAGGAUGACCAGCCACACUGGGACUGAGACACGGCCCAGACUCCUACGGGAGGCAGCAGUGGGGAAUAUUGCGCAAUGGGGGCAACCUGACGCAGCCAUGCCGCGUGAAUGAAGAAGGCCUUCGGGUUGUAAAGUUCUUUCGGUAGCGAGGCGUUAACUACAGAAGAAGCACCGGCUAACUCCGUGCCAGCAGCCGCGGUAAUUC